rnacentral:rRNA from 1 species
UUUAUGGAGAGUUUGAUCCUGGCUCAGGAUGAACGCUGGCGGCGUGCCUAAUACAUGCAAGUCGAGCGAACGGACGAGAAGCUUGCUUCUCUGAUGUUAGCGGCGGACGGGUGAGUAACACGUGGAUAACCUACCUAUAAGACUGGGAUAACUUCGGGAAACCGGAGCUAAUACCGGAUAAUAUUUUGAACCGCAUGGUUCGAAAGUGAAAGACGGUCUUGCUGUCACUUAUAGAUGGAUCCGCGCUGCAUUAGCUAGUUGGUAAGGUAACGGCUUACCAAGG